GCUCAGGGGUGCAGCACAUGCUUAGUAUGCAUGAGGCUCUGGGUUCAACUCCCAG
rnacentral:tRNA from 1 species